GGAGUAAGGGGCAGACUCCCUGGUGAUGACCAUCAUCCACCGCCUUGAGACCUUGUCCCUCACCCAUCAGGAUCUGGUGGAGCACCUGGGCCAGCUGGUGGAGGAGCUGGAGCAGGGCCAGCAUAGCCUGGACAGUCUGAAGCAGGAGCACAACACAAACAAGCUGGUCAGACAUACAAAUACAUGCUUAGAAAUGCAUGUACAUUGUGCUCUAUAUGUGUUUAAUGAUAAACCAUUUUGUUUUGGUUCAUGAAUUGUCUGGGGCCAGGUUAGACUGUGUUUGUCUUCUUUCCCUCUGAGGCAGAUGAGAUGAGGAACAAGGAGCUGUCUGAACUGUUUACCCAGUGGGAUAGAGCCAAGGAGAAAAACAAACAGACUGAGAUUAACCCGAUGAUGAACCAAGGCCAGUCGAGACCAGGUUGAAGAAGUGGGUAGCUUGCUUAUAGCUGUGAAAAACCUUGCAGAACAGUGCUACUUACACCACUAUGGGCCUCUGGAAGAAAUGGACAUGCUGACAAUGAUGGAUAUGGUAAAGGAAUACAUUCAGGAGAGGCCAGACAGAGAAGAGAGCAACAUGACUGAUAGACGAGUGCCAGAGAACAGAGGAUAACUGAAAAAAAUUAACAGUAAAACACAACUAAAAAGUUACUUUACAUUUGUAUUUAAGGUUGUUGUAAUACUGUUAUAAUAGUAUAGUUUGUGGUGAUAAGUUGCUGAUGAAGGAAAUUGUUGGGGUUACACCAUGCAGUUGUACAUGCAUUACUCAUAUACCCUAAUCAAAGAUUGAUGUUCAAAAAUUGUUAGGAUGAAUUCCAAUGUUCAUUAGUUUGCUUUAUUCAUUAAAAAAAUAUAUUACAAAAUGUUCAUCUGACAAAAUGUCUUUGAACCGGUCUCUUUGAAAUGAAUAAAAACAGAUAAAUAUGAGUUCUGGUUGCUGUUUUAAAAAUGAAGACUACUGAAUGGACUAACUAUGGCACUUCUAAAUAUCCGGUUGUUAAUGUUAAUG